GUGCUUGCUUUGGCAGCACAUAUGCUAAAAUUGGAUGGAUACAGAGAUUAGCAUGGGCCCUGCAUGAGGAUGACAUACAAAUUUGUGAAGUGUUCCGUAUUUUC